CCCCUCUCAUGGUCGCACCUGGAGAGUCUCCAGUCCUCUACCAGUCUCGGCUACGGGAGGGAGAGUCAAGCAGAGGCAUACCCAUUCCAUUCCUAGCUAGGGCAGUGGUUAGCGAGUGAAAGGCAAUCUUCUACAAGC
rnacentral:snoRNA from 1 species